CUUACGGGGGGCUGCAGUGGGGAAUAUUGGACAAUGGGGGAAACCCUGAUCCAGCAAUGCCGCGUGUGCGAUGAAGGCCUGCGGGUUGUAAAGCACUUUCGUUGGGGAAGAAAUUAUCAAAUAUAAUACAUUUGAGGGCUGACAUUACCCAAAGAAGAAGCACCGGCAAACUCUGUGCCAGCAGCCGCGGUAAUACAGAGGGUGCAAGCGUUAAUCGGAGUUACUGGGCGCAAGUGGCGCGUAGGCUGGUGAAAUCCCUGGGCUUAACCUAGGAAUUGCAGUCGAUACUGAAUGUCUUGAGUAUGGUAGAGGAAAGUGGAAUUCUCGGUGUAGUGGUUAAAUACGUAGAUAUCGAGAAGAACACCGGUGGCGAAGGCGACUUUCUGGACCAAUACUGACGCUGAGGCGCGAAAGCGUGGGGAGCAAACAGGAUUAGAUACCCUAGUAGUC
rnacentral:rRNA from 1 species